UACGAAGGGGGCUAGCGUUGCUCGGAAUCACUGGGCGUAAAGGGUGCGUAGGCGGGUCUUUAAGUCAGGGGUGAAAUCUCGAGGCUCAACUUCGAGCUGUCGGUGGAAACUGUCUGGCUAGAGUCCGGAAGAGGAGAAUGGAAUUCCUGGUGUAGCGGUGGAAUGCGCAGAUAUCAGGAGGAACACCUAUAGCGAAGGCAGCUUGCUGGGACGUAACUGACGCUAAGGCGCGAAAGAGUGGGGAGCGAACAGG
rnacentral:rRNA from 1 species